AAAUCACAUGUCCUUUAAGAUUAUAGUCUGUAUUCCUCGGUGCGAUCCCAAAAACUGGUAUUGCCAGUUGACAUUAUUAGGCUGUAGCCGGCAUUAUUAGGCUGUAGCCGGCAUUAUUAGGCUGUAGCCGGCAUUAUUAGGCUGAGCGCUGGUCUAGAUACGUAAUAACAUAACAUGCUCACCUGUACUUAACUCUUAAUUUUCAUGCGGAUGGCAUCUCUAAGUCAUUCAUUUCAGUCAACUUUGCAUUUCACGCUUUCGAAGUCCAUAAAGCGAAUUACCUUGAUGAGAUUCGAUUUCAUUAUGCAAAGAACCGUAAUUAAAUACCCCAUGGCAGUUUGUUCGACGCUCUAACGAUUUUGUCGAGACACCACUUUAUGAGUAGAUAAUUGUUUCUAAUAUACGCACAAGAGCAGCAAUUUUGAAAGGAAAGAAAUAGUUGCUUACAUCGAACCUAAAAUUUGACAAGAUGGCGGUGAACUUGGCAGAAUCGUUAGCACAUCGGACAAAAUGCCUAGUGACAUUUCUUCUGGUUCUUUAAGUUCUGAGUUCAAAUGCCGCCAAGGUCAACUUUAUCUUUCAUCACUUCAGAGUCAAUAAAAUAAAGUACCAGCCAAGUAUUGGAGGUCGAUGUAAUCGACUUGUUCCUCCCUUCAAAAUUGCUGGCCAUAGACCCUGCAACAGACCUGGGUCCCAUUUAGGAAUAAUUUUGUGAUCUCGGACAUGUCACUGGCCUUAUGAGGCCUAGGGCUCAGAAAAACUUUUUAAAUAAAAAUGAAAGGUAAAGUACCGGGAUUUGAACUCAGAGCGUCAAAGGCCGGAACAAAUUCCGACAGGCAUCUCUACCGAUUUUGUCAAACCUCUGCAUUUACAACAACAACGACAACAAUAGCUAUUUCUAAUUCUGGUCUGAAGCCAACAUCUUUGAUGGGAAAGAGUUUGUCCAUUUCAGUGUCCCCAGUGCUUGGCAGGUACAUUAUUUUAUUGAAGCCCUAAAGAAUGAAAGGCAAAGUUGACCUCGGCGGGGUUUGAACCCAGAGCGGGAAGAAGGCAAUCAAAUACCGCAAGACAUUUUCUGCCAAUCCACUGUUAUCUAUAUAAUAAAAAACAAAGAUAAUGAUCCGUCCCGGGUCAUAUAGACUCACGGAGCCAGUUUCUUGGUUUCUAUGUCGUGUGUACAUACCCCACCUGGACAGAACGCCGAUCAGUGGCAAAAUUGCUCAUUUUUGCCACCUGAGUGGAAUGAAACAGUGUGAAAUGAAGUGUUUUGCUCAAGAAAACAACAACACGUCACUCGGUCCAGGAAUCGAAACCACAACCUUAUGAUCAUGAGUCCAACACUCUAACCACUAAGCCACGCACUUCCAUACUGCUACCCAUAAAUAAGUAAUAACUGUUUUUAACAUAGGCACUAGGCCACAAAUUUGUGGAUAAGGAAAGUUUUGAUUGUACUGACUCUAAUAUGUAAUUGGUACUUUAUUUAGUCGAUCCUGGGAGGAUAAAAUAUAAAGGCGACGUCGACGAGAUUUGAAUGUAUGAUAGAAGGUAAAUAAACAUGACUAAAUACCACAAGGUAUUGAUUCCGGUACUCUAAUGCUUCCACCAAUGAACCAUCUUGGAAAUUGACAGUAUUAAAUAACAGCAACAACGUAAAACAAUGCAAUAACUAUUUGUGUGCCUUCGAUAUUGCGAGCAAAGAAACUGAAAAGUGCUUGGAAACAAAAAAAAAAUGAAAAUAAAGAACAUUCAGAAAAUGGCAUUAUUUGGUAGUGCAAGGAACCUCUGCAAAGCCCUCGAGACUAGAAAACAACAUAUGACCUUACUUUUCGAGAUGUGAACAGCUGUUACGUUAAUGGCACCACCUCCAGCAACAAGCUGAGUAUGUAGGAGAUAAUAAUAAUAAUAAUAAUAAUAAUAAU
rnacentral:lncRNA from 1 species